GGCGAGUGGCGAACGGGUGAGUAAUACAUCGGAACGUGUCCUGGAGUGGGGGAUAGCCCGGCGAAAGCCGGAUUAAUACCGCAUACGCUCUGUGGAGGAAAGCGGGGGAUCUUUCGGGACCUCGCGCUCAAGGGGCGGCCGAUGGCAGAUUAGGUAGUUGGUGGGGUAAAGGCCUACCAAGCCGACGAUCUGUAGCUGGUCUGAGAGGACGACCAGCCACACUGGGACUGAGACACGGCCCAGACUCCUACGGGAGGCAGCAGUGGGGAAUUUUGGACAAUGGGCGCAAGCCUGAUCCAGCAAUGCCGCGUGUGUGAAGAAGGCCUUCGGGUUGUAAAGCACUUUUGUCCGGAAAGAAAACCUCUGGGUUAAUACCCUGGGGGGAUGACGGUACCGGAAGAAUAAGCACCGGCUAACUACGUGCCAGCAGCCGCGGUAAUACGUAGGGUGCGAGCGUUAAUCGGAAUUACUGGGCGUUAAGCGUGCGCAGGCGGUGAUGUAAGACCGAUGUGAAAUCCCGGGCUUACCUGGGAACUGCAUUGGUGACUGCAUCGCUCG
rnacentral:rRNA from 1 species